rnacentral:rRNA from 1 species
UACGAAGGGUGCAAGCGUUAAUCGGAAUUACUGGGCGUAAGGGGUGCGUAGGCGGCUCGUUAAGUCUGUCGUGAAAUCCCCGGGCUCAACCUGGGAAUGGCGAUGGAUACUGGCGAGCUAGAGUGUGUCAGAGGAUGGUGGAAUUCCCGGUGUAGCGGUGAAAUGCGUAGAGAUCGGGAGGAACAUCAGUGGCGAAGGCGGCCAUCUGGGACAACACUGACGCUGAAGCACGAAAGCGUGGGGAGCAAACAGG